GUCAAACUGGUUGCCGCAUGCCAGAUACAAGACAUGUUCAUUUCUUCAAGCAAGGAAGCCCCAGCAGGUGUGCAGCAGCUGUAAUGACAGUCACCACCUGGUCAUGCUUUUGAUAAUCCAGCAUCAUUCUCCUGGAUCCAGCUGCCUUCUGCAUGGUGUCAGCAGGCAAGACCACCAUCAUGCUUUCCGGCCACACAAGAGAGAGAUCCUUACCAAUGAAAGAUUCUAACAGUAUUUCUGGGGUACCAAGGAAGCCCCAGCAUGGCUGCUGCCCUUGCAAGAGGAGGAAGCUUCAGACUCAGAGAAGCAAGUGCACAGACAAAGGGUGUCGGUGUGAGAAUGGAGCUGAAGACUGUGGUUCAGACAGCAGAUCUAGUUCCCAACUCUGAGGCAGAGUCCUGGUUUGGGGUUUGUAUUACCCUGUUCUUUAAGAAGAAGCCACCCUCAGCAGUCCUGAUAAAACUACUUUCUAAGAUGCCACACUGAUACACUGUAACCUACUCCAUCACUUGGCUUAGAAAAUCAAUCUUUCAAGGAAGGAUUCCAAAAGUUCUCAUUCGAUGGCAGGAUCACAAGUUUGGUUUUUUAAAUUCAUUUUUCCCCCUUGAGCUCUUCCUGGAACAUGUCCAUCUCUCAAACACCGUGGUCCCUUUCUUUCUAGCCCCAAGAAUAUAUUUAUUGCCUUGUCCAGGGCCAUUCCUUUGAUUCUGAACGAAGGCAAACCAUGAUGCUAGCCUGCUAGAUCCACAAGCAGCUGGGAGGUCGGAUGGACCCUCCCAGGGUGCAGUGGGCUCUCAUGUAACCUAGGGCCAGGCAUCAGGGUGGAUCCCAGAAGUUGGCAGCAGACCCCCGGGAGCCAGCUGUGUCGUCUGGACUUCUGUGUCAGUCACAUUAAACAGAGAUGGUCUUUCACUUACUCCCCGUUUGUCACAGGCCUCGCCCCAGAAAGUCUCCUUUCCUAAGGACUGGAUUCAGGUCUCUGUUUGGCCUGGUGUCCCAGUCCCAAUGCUGCCUUGCUCCUCUGGAACGUCAAAUCACCUGUUUGGCAAUGUGACCUCAAGUCAGGCGGGCCCCAGUCUACCCGUCUCCAGCCUCCUGCACCGGCUCUCGCCCUCUCGCCUCUUCAGAACUAAGCGAGUAUGGUUUUCCAAAUAUAAUUUUGCAGCCGGUAUGUUAGUUGGGGCUUCUAAUGAGGCAUAGUAAUUGCUUCUGCUACUUUCCAAAAUGAAAAUGAACCUCCAAAGAGCAGCUGGCUCCUUGCAAUGCUCUCCUCCCUCCUGCUCUGCAUGGUGCAUUCCUCCUAGUCACUCAGAGCUUAGCCUUGCCUGCCUGAGCUGAGGGCAGGGCCUGGGGGAGAUCUGGGAGGAAUGUGUGGAUGGCAAGGAAACGGGGUUCAGUGCUGGGAUAAGAGGGCUAUUGUGUGCUUUAUUAUAUUGAUGGGAAAAGAGAAGGAGGAGGCCGAGGAGGGAAAGGUCUGGCUUUCCUUUUGAUUCACAAGAUGCCCAGUAUAUGUGGUACUUAUCAGUGUUUCUGAAAAGAUGACCAAGUGUUUAGAUGAUGGGAAGAUGUUUCUGCCUGCCUCCUUUUUUCCAAGAAUCACCCUGAAGCAAUAAAGGGAACAAGAAGCAAUAACACAACCAUCACAUUCUGUAGGGUCAGAACACAUCUGUCAACUGAAACUAUAGAACGCUGAGAUGAGAAACAGAUGGAGGAGCGGUAAGCCACUCAGUGGAGCUAUGGAAAAUCAGACCCAAGAGUCAGGGGACACUAUUGUGGAUCAAGCCAUCCCUUCCACAGGAAGCAGGGGUGUCUGAGCAGUUUGCAGGCUUGCUAUUUAGUCAGAUUAGGGUCUAGCAUCAGUGGAAGUCCUGAGAUACUGAGACAGAAAUUGGUGAGGAGGACCUUCUAGUCCCUGGCUCUUCACAACAGCAAUAGACUUGGACGCCAAGGGAAUGAAGAACAAGGCCAUUUGUCCUAGAUAACCACCAAAAAGUAACUCUGUCAACAUAUGCUGCACUCCAAAGUCCUAACUACUUAUUGUGUCGCUUUCCCUUGGGACACUUGAAUAAAACAUCUCUUCAUCCCAGAAAGGGCACCAUGAACAUGCCAAAGAAAUGACUCCAUCUAAGUCGAGCUUGCUGAACCGAUGAGUGAAUUGAGCUUAUUUACAGUGACACGAGUGUGGGGUUGCUUGAAGGCUCGUGGGUGACCCCAAAUAACUGUACUACAAACAAAUCCCAUCCCAGUUUGGGUAAUGGUCUUCCAAAAACUACAUAGAAGGAAUUCUCCUUUCAGUCAACCUUGCAUUUCCUGUGUAAUCCAAACACCUUUUCCCAGAGUCCCUGUAAGUAGCUGAGUGCUGGGCAGGAGUGGGUGUUUGGAAUCCCAGGUGACAUGAUAGCCUUCUCCAGUCCCUCCUGCAAAAAAAAAGAAGCAAAGGAGAGGAGCAAGCUAUAAACUCAGGUCCAUACCCAGUAAUCCACUUCCUCAAACUAAUCCACUUUCUAUGCUCUAUAACGUCCCCAAAUAUCACUACCAGCAGAGACUGUGGGGGGAUGUGUUUCCCUUCGGACUGUAGCAGGCAUCAAGGAAAUACAUCUCCUUCCGUCUCCUACCCCAUCUGCUACUGGAUGCUGCCUGUGCCUACACCAUCCAGAGCAGCCUUCAGACCCUACCCAUAAUGCUUCAUUGGAAUGUGGGCACAAAAGUCAUCAGCCUGCUAGAUACUGUGGAAGUGCAGGAGUUCAAGAAGAUUGUGCCUGUCCUCAAGAUUCCAAAAGCAAGUCACUGCCACCACUGCACCUGGACCACAGAGUAAAAUCCUGUCUCAAAAACAAACAAGAAAAAAAUAUAUAGAGGUUCUCACUUCAUUCAAUUAUCACAUCUGUUUCAUUAAAUUAUAAAGUUACUAUAAUUUAAUGAAAGUUUGGUGGAAUUCUUGUUUUUAUACUUCCCAUGCACAGCAAUGUAUGGAGCCUAUGCCAGCAGUGCAGUAAGCAUUUGAUGAACAAAGGGGAGAAUCAACCAAUCAGAAGGAUGCUGCAGAGUAUGGAGAGCUGGAAAGGCUGGAGAGUACCAUCAGAAAGGAUGCCAACACUCAGCAAUUCUCUAAAAUCCAUGGAGACUCCUACAAGUCAAGACGCUCCCAAAAGGAGAACAACUCUGGAGAGCGCGUGGCAGUCAGACUUGCUAAUCAACUUUGGAGUGACAAAGCGUAUUAUGAGUGCUGUGGGAAUGCCAAAGUAGGCCAUCCCAGGAAGCAAGUAAAAAGGCAGUUCUAGAAAUAUAGCAGGAAAAUAUGUUCAGCCCCAGGUGUUGCUUUUUUACAUUAGACUUGUGUCUUGCAGAGACAGGGCAACCCAUUCAAAACUCUUGAGUUUUAUUAGAGUUUGAUCUGUUAUUGACUUUAAUUCACAACCCAGCCAACAGUUCUGACUGUUGGUCAAUGGUGUUCUGAAAAGGGUGAAAUUCUUUGCUCCUAAUGGAUAGAUACCCAAAACAUGAGUUCAUCUGUUAUCCAUGUAGACAGAUUGAUUGUUUCAGUUAAUUUCAUGGUUUCUGUCGCCAUAUAUCUGAGAAGAAGCAACUUAAGGGAGGAAGGGUUUAUUUUGGUUUAGAAGUUGAGGGUGUAGUCCAUCAUGCUGGGGAAGGCACUGAGGCGGGCAGCACCAGGGUGGCAGGGCAUGGAGCUGGGACCUCCCCCCUCCUCCCAGAAUAGGAGGCAGAAAUCAGACAAGAAAUGAGGCCUGACUAUAGAAUAUCAAGAUCAGCCCCUAGUGACCCACUUCAUCCCAUGAGGGUCUACCUGCUAAGGUUCCACAGCCUCCCGAAACAAAGCCACCAAUGGGGACCAGGUGUUCAGACUCAUGAGCUUAUGGAGAACAUUUCACAUCCAGGCCAUAACAUUUAGACAGGGACAAAUAUGACAUAUACAAAAGGAAACAACUUUAGGAAACUGUCCACGCUAUUGACAGAUAAAUUGAACUGACCACUGAUUUCUCAUCAACAAAGUUUCACAAGCAAUCAUCAAGCAGUUAGGUACUGUCCAAGGCAGGUGAUAUGGGGUCACCAACCAUUCAGUGGGGAGUAAACAGGUGACAUUUCUACUCUACAGGCUUUGGAAACAGGGGCUGUGGUGGUUUGACUAGAAAUGUCCCCAUAGGCUCAUGUAUUUGACUGCUUGAGAGGGCCUAGGAGAUGUGUCCUUGUCGGAGGAAGUGUGUCACUGGGGGGUGAGCUUUGGAGUUUCAAAAACUCAAUCCAGGCCCUGUGUCUCUCUCUUCCUGCUGUCUGCAGAUCUGGAUGUAGAACUCUCAACUUCUCCAGCACCAUGUCUGCCUUCCUGCCCCCACACUCCCUGCCAUGACGACAAAAUCUGAAACUGUAUGCAAUCCCUAAUUAAAUGCUUUCCUUUGUAA